rnacentral:lncRNA from 1 species
AGGAUGUUUUUCCUUUUUCCUUUUUUUUUUUUUUGUUUUUUGUUUUUUUUGUGUGUUUUUUGGUUGUUAAAUACAGGGUAUAUUUACCUCUGGCACGUGGGAAGAGAAAUCAGAUGAAAUUUCCUUUGCUGACUUCAAGUUCUCAGUCACUCAUCAUUAUCUUGUACAAGAAUCCACUGAUAAAGAAGGAAAGGAUGAAGUAUUAGAAGUAGGGGAGAUAAAGUUUUUAAAUCAGUAACAAUGAUGGAACGAAAAAAGUGAAAGUGCCAUCCCAAGACACAAAGUUCCACUGGAGUUCAGAGGAGAAAGGAUCACUUUUAAUCCAGAGCGAUUGGAGAAGAUGUCAUGGAGAAUUAAGUAACUAAGCUGGGCUUUGAAGAAUUUUAAAAAAGAGUCACUUACAGAUUAGUCAAUGUCAUUUUUUGGAUAUAUCUCAGACAUUGGGGUCAGAUAAAAUAGAUUAAGAUUCUGGUUUUUCUAUUUACUAGUUACUUGACCUUUCUAAACGUCACUGAUCAUAUUUGUAAAAUGAAGUAAUACUACCUGGGGGGUUAAUGGGAAGAUUUCAUGAGACACUGUACAUGAGUACCAAUAUCAUGAUUCCUAAUGUUACCAGGCUCUUGUAUAAACACUGCAAUUAGUAUUCAAGUUAGCAAACAUCCUUUGCAGCAUAAUAAAAGAUUUUAAGAGUUAGUUUCUUCCUCAAAAAAGCAUAUGUUUUAUUUCCUAGGAGUAAUUUACUAACUUGCAAUAGGACCUUUAGUUUAUAUUACAAUUUUUAGAGAAAGAUUCAUUUUAAGAGAAUAGUUUUUUAAAUUAUGAUAUUAUGAUAAAUUAUAAUAUAUUAUGAUAUUUUCAUAAUAUAUUGCUGACUUGAAAUGCUAUAACUUCUAAUUCUGAAUUAAUAUUUUAAUUAAAUUUUAUAAAGUACCUAUCUCAGUACUGGCUCAUAUUAGGCAUUCAGUAAAUAGUGCUUAUAGUUGUUAAUAGGUCAUAUCAUCCAAAAUCUGUAUUUUGAGGUAUGCUAGUGCAAAACAGUGAGUGAACAAGGUAUUUUAAAAAAACAUGAAAUUUGCAUCUGUUGAUGAAAUAUUCUUCUUCAUUGACUCAAAAAUAACAUACAGUUAAGUUUUACUUGUCAAAACAGAUUUUCAUUUCUAAGUGUAGGCCUGAAAUAUAUGUGUCUUGUAUAGGAAUAAAAUUACAAUAUCUUUUCUAUUGUAUUUUCACAAACAAAGCAAUUUGAUAGCAUUUGCAUUUAGAUUCGUAAACUAGGGCAGAUGUUUGACCAUGUAUACACAUAUACAGGACUGUUAUAUAGUAAAGUAAAAUAAUUAAACCAGAAUGUGAACAUGCAUAUUUUUGAAAUAGGAGGAGGGAAAUAAAUGCAACUGGUGGGAAGUCUGAUAAUAGCACAGAGCUUUAUGGGUCUAAUAUUCCACUAAUUACUGAAGGAAACUGUUCAAGGUAGAAGAAUCUUAAAAUGCUGUUAAUUUACAGAAAGAUCAUAUAUCACAGAAAAACUGUGAUAGUAGGGGGGCUUAGAAUCAGUGUUUCUGAGAUGAAUAGAUAAAAGAGACUGAUAUGAGAGAAAAUGAAUGAAUUUAAGAUAGUAAAAGUUACCCCUGGCAUUUUUCAAGGAACUAGAACACACAAUCCAAAAAUUUAUAUGGAACCACUAAAGACCUAGAAUUGCCAAAGCAAUGCUGAGGAACAAAAACCAAGCAGGAGGCAUAACUCUCCCAGACUUCAGGCAAUACUACAAAGCCUGAAUAAUCAAGACAGUGUGGUACUGAUACCAAAACAGACACACAGACCAAUGGAACAGAAUAGAGAACCCAGAAGUAAACCAAACACCUACGGUCAAUUAAUCUUUGACAAAGGAGGCAAGAACAUAAAAUGGGAAAAAGACAGUCUUUUCAGCAGGUGUUGCUAGGAAAACUGGACAGCCGCAUGUAAAUCAAUGAAACUGGAACACACUCUCACAUCAUGCACAAAAAUAAACUCAAAAUGGCUUAUAGACUUAAAUAUAAGACAAGACACCAUCAAACUCCUGCAAGAGAACAUAGGCAAACAUUCUUUGAUAUCAGUCUUACAAAUGUUUUCUCAAGUCAGUCUCC